rnacentral:rRNA from 1 species
AGCAGCCGCGGUAAUUCCAGCUCCAAUAGCGUAUAUUAAAGUUGUUGCAGUUAAAAAGCUCGUAGUUGAAUUUCGGGGUCAGUAGGUUGGUCGUGCCAAUGGUAUGCACUGGCUUUACUGAUUCCUCCUUCUUGAAGAACUGUAAUGUCAUUAAUUUGGUGUUGCAGGGAAACAGGACUGUUACUUUGAAAAAAUUAGAGUGUUUAAAGCAGGCUAACGCUUGAAUACAUUAGCAUGGAAUAAUGAAAUAGGACGUUCGAUCCUAUUUUGUUGGUUUCUAGGAUUGACGUAAUGAUUAAUAGGGAUAGUUGGGGGCAUUAGUAUUCAAUUGUCAGAGGUGAAAUUCUUGGAUUUAUUGAAGACUAACUACUGCGAAAGCAUUUGCCAAGGAUGUUUUCAUUAAUCAAGAACGAAAGUUAGGGGAUCGGAGACGAUCAGAUACCGUCGUAGUCUUAACCAUAAACUAUGCCGACUAGGGAUCGGAUGAUGUUAAUUUUUUAAUGACUCA